GAUGAACGCUGGCGGCGUGCUUAACACAUGCAAGUCGAACGGAUAGGCCCUGCUUGCGGGGUACUCGAGUGGCGAACGGGUGAGUAACACGUGGGUGAUCUGCCCUGCACGUCGGGAUAAGCCUGGGAAACUGGGUCUAAUACCGGAUAGGAGCCAUGUUUUGUGUGAUGGUUGGUAGGUUUUUUGGGUGUUGGAUUAGCUCGCGGCGUAACAGCUUGUUGGGGGGGUAAUGGCCUACCAAGGCGGCGGCGGGUAGCCGGCCUGGGAGGGUGGACGGCCACACUGGGACUUAGGGACGGCACAGACACCGACGGGAGGGCGAAGGGGGGAAGACUGCCGGAGCGGCGCCAGGCGGAUGCAGAGAGGCUGCGGGGGGUAAGACGGCCUUCGGGUUGAAGACCCAUUUCGGUAGGGACGAAGCUUUUUGUGACGGUACCUAGAUAAGAAGCAACGGCUAACUACGUG
rnacentral:rRNA from 1 species